UAGGGAAUAUUAGUAAUGGGCGAAAGCCUGAACUAGCCACACCGCGUGUGCGAAGAAGGCCUUCGGGUUGUAAAGCACUUUUUGAGAGGAUGAGGAAGGACGGUACUCUCAGAAUAAGUCUCGGCUAACUACGUGCCAGCAGCCGCGGUAACACGCAGGAGGCAAACGUUAUCCGGAUUUACUGGGCGUAAAGCGCGUGUUGGUGGUUUGGUAAGUAGGGCGUGAAAGCUCCUGGCUCAACUGGGAGAGGUCGUUCUAAACUGCCGGACUCGAGGAUGGUAGAGGGAGGUGGAAUUCCGGUGUAGCGGUGGAAUGCGCAGAUAUCCGGAGGAACACCAGUGGCGAAAGCGGCCUCCUGGACCACUCCUGACACUCAGACGCGAAAGCUAGGAUAGCAAACG
rnacentral:rRNA from 1 species